rnacentral:lncRNA from 1 species
GACUGUUUUCACAACAUUUUCUAAAAAGGAGCUACUGACAGAAAUAAUGGUUGCCAGUCUUGCGAUGAAGUCUUCACAGAAGGAGUUACGCUUGCUCUGUAUCUGCUCAGGACCUAUCCCAAGGAAAGAAAGAUAGACAGGCAGACAGAAGGACAGUGAUGUGGAAAAACAUUCGCUGCCAAUGUAAAUCAGGAGCAGCUCCAGUGAAAUGAAUGGACUGGAACGGGAUCCCACUUACAAUCAGGCAAGUUCACAAUAUACCACUGACUUGAGAUCAGUGCACAGAAGGGAGA